GUCCUGGAACAGCUCUUAAAGACCAUCAGACACCAGGUUGGAGCAGAACUGAUGCUGUAGCACCUGUCACUCAGUGGGCUCUUCUCUGCUAAAUCUCCCAGAGAUAUGCCCCUCUUCAACAACGCCUGAGGUAAUGUCUUUGGGAACUUGUGUUUAUUUAUUUAUUCUUCGUAAUUUUAUCUGCUGUAUUAUUGUUUGUGACUUCAUUGUAUAGCUCUGUUGAUAUCAUCGUCUUUAACAGCAGUGAUUUCCCUCAGGUCUUCUUCAAGCCAAUUGAACGUUAAGAGCGGAAGAACUGCUCAGACACUCAGGCAGCCAAAUGCACCAAAGUUAGACAUCAUGCAGCCACCCUAAGCCUUGAG